CUGGGCGUAGACGGCGCGGCGGCUGUUUUCGAAAUAGUCCAGAUACUCGCCCAUCUGGGCCGUCUGGCCCCGCAUCCAGGCGUCCUGG
rnacentral:tRNA from 1 species